CGUAUCCUACGGGACGCAGCAGUGAGGAAUAUUGGUCAAUGGCCGAGAGGUUGAACCAGCCACGUCGCGUGAGGGAAGACGGCCCUACGGGUUGUAAACCUCUUUUGUCGGGGAGCAAAGAGAGUCACGUGUGACUCAUUGAGAGUACCCGAAGAAAAAGCAUCGGCUAACUCCGUGCCAGCAGCCGCGGUAAUACGGAGGAUGCGAGCGUUAUCCGGAUUUAUUGGGUUUAAAGGGCGCGCAGGCGGAGGUGCAAGUCAGCGGUCAAAUUGCGGGGCUCAACCCCGUACUGCCGUUGAAACUGC
rnacentral:rRNA from 1 species